CCUUAGAGAAGUAAACAUUUUAACUCCCUUUCAGGCAGUGGAAAUCGGAGAGCUAUAUCUAAACACUGGGUUCUCUUUGUCCAUGAGAAAAGAAAACUGCUCAUUUUUUCUUGACAUUCAGCGCUUUUCCUCAUUUAGAAUCAAGGGCUGAAAUGAAAGAAAAAAAACAGGGAUUUUUGGUGUGGAAAGGAGCUUGGCUUCAGAACUGGAGGAGACUGGAGGGAAAUAUUGAAGCUAAUUGAGGAUUCUGGAAAUGGAGCCAUUUUCCAGGAAGCAGCAGCUUAUCUCAACUCAGGCAAAGGACCUGGCAGGCAAAGCAUCCUAAGAUGGAGACUGAAACUACCCUUCAGGACAAUAACAACUGUCCUGACUCCAGCAAGACCGAGUGUGAUUGACCCCAAGAAAACGAUCAACCUGACCUCUACUGGCCACCUGCCACCCACCAACAUUUGCCCCACAUUUUCCUUAUAUAAACCUGGAAGUAUUUUCAGCUCUUGGAGUCAGUCCGUUGUCUUCCCGGUGUUGGUCUCACUGAAAUGAAUUCCUUUUUGGUUUCACGGCCACUCGUUUGUGAACUGCGAAUGGCCCACCCUCGUCUUUUUGGGACCCUCAGAGCCAAGUGGUUACAAUUUUAAGUGUACAAUUAGUGGUUUUUAACAUAUUCACUGCAUUGUGCAACCCUCGCCACUAUUGUGCAGGUAUUAUUAAUUUACAUAAAGGUAUUUUUUGUUGUCA